rnacentral:tRNA from 1 species
GUUCUAGUAGCUCAGCUGGUUAGAGCGCACGCCUGAUAAGCGUGAGGUCGAUGGUUCGAGUCCAUUUAGGCCCA